rnacentral:rRNA from 1 species
CCCUCCCUGGUCUCACCCUGCCGCGUGAAUGAUGACCGCCUUAGGGUCGUAAAGCUCUUUCGCCUGUAAUGAUAAUGACAGUAGCAGGUAAAGAAACCCCGGCUAACUCCGUGCCAGCAGCCGCGGUAAUACGGAGGGGGUUAGCGUUGUUCAGAAUUACUGGGCGUAAAGCGCGCGUAGGCGGAAUUAAAGUUGGGGGUGAAAUCCCGGGGCUCAACGCCGGAACUGCCUCCAAAACUACUUGCCUAUAGUUCGAGAGAGGUGAAUUGAAUUUCGAGGGUAGAGUUGAAUUCCUAUAAUUUCCAAAAG